rnacentral:rRNA from 1 species
CCUACGGGUGGCAGCAGUGGGGAAUAUUGGACAAUGGGCGCAACCCUGAUCCAGCGAAGCCGCGUGAGUGAAGAAGGAUUUCGGGAUGUAAAGCUCUAUCAGCAGGGAAGAAAAUGACGGUACCUGACUAAGAAGCCCCGGCUAACAACGUGCAAGCAGCCGCGGUAAUACGUAGGGGGCAAGCGUUAUCCGGAUUUACUGGGUGUAAAGGGAGCGUAGACGGUGCAGCAAGUCUGAUGUGAAAGUUUGGGGCCCAACCCCAGGACUGCAAUGGAUACUGUUGAACUUGAGUACAGGAGAGGUAGGCGGAAUUCGUAGUGUAGCGGUGAAAUGCGUAGAUAUUAGGAAGAACACCAGUGGCGAAGGCAGCUUACUGGACUGUAACUGACGUUGAGGCUCGAAAGUGUGGGGAGCAAACAGGAUUAGAUACCCUAGUAGUC